rnacentral:rRNA from 1 species
UACGUAGGGUGCAAGCGUUGUCCGGAAUUAUUGGGCGUAAAGAGCUCGUAGGCGGUCUGUCACGUCGGCUGUGAAAACCCGGGGCUCAACCCCGGGCCUGCAGUCGAUACGGGCAGACUAGAGUGCGGUAGGGGAGACUGGAAUUCCUGGUGUAGCGGUGAAAUGCGCAGAUAUCAGGAGGAACACCGGUGGCGAAGGCGGCACUCUGGGCCGGUACUGACGCUGAGGAGCGAAAGCGUGGGGAGCGAACAGG